rnacentral:tRNA from 1 species
GCCCGGUUAGCUCAAUCGGUAGAGCGUCAGACUCUUAACAACGGGAUUUCAUCCCAGUUGCUAUCUGAAGGCUGCGGGUUCGACCCCCGCAUCGGGCU